rnacentral:rRNA from 1 species
AUUGAACGCUGGCGGAAUGCUAUACACAUGCGAGUCGAACGGCAGCACGGGGGCAACCCUGGUGGCGAGUGGCGAACGGGUGAGUAAUACAUCGGAACGUGCCCAGUCGUGGGGGAUAACGUAUCGAAAGUUACGCUAAUACCGCAUACGCUCUACGGAUGAAAGCGGGGGAUCGCAAGACCUCGCGCGAUUGGAGCGGCCGAUAUCAGAUUAGGUAGUUGGUGGGGUAAAGGCCCACCAAGCCAACGAUCUGUAGCUGGUCUGAGAGGACGACCAGCCACACUGGAACUGAGACACGGUCCAGACUCCUACGGGAGGCAGCAGUGGGGAAUUUUGGACAAUGGGCGAAAGCCUGAUCCAGCCAUUCCGCGUGCAGGAUGAAGGCCCUCGGGUUGUAAACUGCUUUUGUACAGAACGAAAAGGUUUCUACUAAUACUAGGAGCUCAUGACGGUACUGUAAGAAUAAGCACCGGCUAACUACGUGCCAGCAGCCGCCGUAA